AUUGAACGCUGGCGGCAGGCCUAACACAUGCAAGUCGAACGAGUGGCGGACGGGUGAGUAAUGUCUGGGAAACUGCCUGAUGGAGGGGGAUAACUACUGGAAACGGUAGCUAAUACCGCAUACCAUCAGAUGUGCCCAGCAGGGAUUAGCUAGUUGGUGGGGUAACGGCUCAACAAGGCGCCGAUCCCUAGCUGGUCUGUGAGGAUGACCCGCCCAACUGGAACUGCGACACGGUCAAGACUCCUACGGGGGGCAGCAGUGGGGAAUAUUGCACAAUGGGCGAAAGCCGGAUGCCGCCAUGCCGCGUGUAUGAAAAAGGCCUUCGGGUUGUAAAGUACUUUCAGCGGGGAGGCGUUACCCGCAGAAGAAGCACCGGCUAACUCCGUGCCAGCAGCCGCGGUAAUAC
rnacentral:rRNA from 1 species